rnacentral:rRNA from 1 species
UACGAAGGGGGCUAGCGUUGCUCGGAAUUACUGGGCGUAAAGGGCGCGUAGGCGGCACUGUUAGUCAGGCGUGAAAUUCCUGGGCUCAACCUGGGGACUGCGCUUGAUACGGCAGAGCUUGAGGAUGGAAGAGGGUCGCGGAAUUCCCAGUGUAGAGGUGAAAUUCGUAGAUAUUGGGAAGAACACCGGUGGCGAAGGCGGCGACCUGGUCCAUUACUGACGCUGAGGCGCGACAGCGUGGGGAGCAAACAGG